AACGAACGCUGGCGGCAGGCUUAACACAUGCAAGUCGAGCGCGUAGCAAUACGAGCGGCAGACGGGUGAGUAACGCGUGGGAAUCUACCCAACCCUACGGAAUAACGCAUGGAAACGUGUGCUAAUACCGUAUACGCCCUUUGGGGGAAAGAUUUAUCGGGGAUGGAUGAGCCCGCGUUGGAUUAGCUAGUUGGUGGGGUAAAGGCCUACCAAGGCGACGAUCCAUAGCUGGUCUGAGAGGAUGAUCAGCCACAUUGGGACUGAGACACGGCCCAAACUCCUACGGGAGGCAGCAGUGGGGAAUAUUGGACAAUGGGCGCAAGCCUGAUCCAGCCAUGCCGCGUGAGUGAUGAAGGCCCUAGGGUUGUAAACUGCUUUUGUACGGAACGAAACGGUGAGCUCUAAUACAGUUUGCUAAUGACGGUACCGUAAGAAUAAGCACCGGCUAACUACGUGCCAGCAGCCGCGGUAAA
rnacentral:rRNA from 1 species